ACAUAGACAUGUGCACCGGGUGGUACUGGGGGAAAACAUGGGGGAGAAUGAAGAGGGUGCCUGCCCUGCCCUGGGGGAUGGCACUGUGGGUCCCUGCCCAUGGCUCUAUCCUUCUUUAUCCCCCAGGCACAGCCUGAGGUUGUCUUAACCGAGGACACCUUUCCCCAUUCCUGAGCUCUCCUUAUGGAGCCACAUCCUUCCAAUGCACUUGGAAUAACGAGAUGGUCCCUUGGAGCAAAGCUGACCCCAAAUGACCCAAAGGGCAGGCAGGUUGGGCUCAGAUAAGGUAAAAACACCUUUGGGUCAGGUAGAAAAAAGCUGCAGCAACCCUACCAUGCCAUCCAUCUGUGCUUGCUUGGGGAAGGAGAUUGCUGCACACGUUGGGGCUGCAAACGUGCAUGGCAUUGCCCAGGGGAACAGAGAGCUCUCUGCAUGUCAGAAGCCAAAGGAGCUCCCUGAGGGGAUGGGCUGAGAGGAAAAUGGACUGAGAGGUGGAAAGCUGUAGGUGCAUAGGAGUUGCUGUCCCCACUGUCCCCACAGCUCAGGACUAGCAGGAGUGCAGUGAGGCGCCAGGUCAUGCCAAGCCACAUGAUCUGCGGGGUCGGAGCAGCGACAACAACAGGAACAAUCUGUGGGAGAGGAACUUAGGAUGAGCCCAACUUCUCUAAAAGUAUAAAAAGACCCCGGGGGCCACAAAGGCACCAACUGCACACCCUCCUCUGCCGCCGCUGCCACCACGCAGCCCCUGACGGUUGGAGCUGGCGUUGCCCUGGCGUUGUGCAAUACAGUGGCUGUGCUCUCGGCAUCAGCUCGCUGCUCGCUUUCUCUGCCAGAAAAGGAAACACAACCGCACCGAUGUGCCUUUGCAAGAGAGCAAACGGCUCUGCCCUGCAUGGGCUGCGUGCGGGGGGAUGCUGGCACGGAAAGGGAGAGUGAGCAAACAGCACCUCAAAUCCCAUUAGAAAGCAGCAGAGGAGGAAACUGCGAGGAAAUUGCAAGGAAAUCUGCUUCCUGUAAGAGAGACUCACGCAGCUCAAAGCGGGAGUGGAGCCGCUUCAUUCAAUCUGCUGACAACUCAAGCAGAUUGGCAGCACCUUGCUGGCUGGCCAAAUGCUCGCAGCAGGUUGCUCCUGCUGUGCAUGCUCUUCUUUUGUAAAGAAAUCCCCCCCCCCAGCCCCAGGUAGUGCAGCAGGAAAGUGACAGCCUGAAAGGACCACAGCACUGUGCUUUGGAAAUGGAGAAGUGCUGUUGCCCUGCUGCUUGGCAUGCAGAUUGUUCACUCCAUAGGCAGCAGGGAUGUGGUGCUCAGAGCUCAACCUCAGCUUGGGGCAUCCUUCCUCAAGCAUAGAGCUGUACCCUUAUCCACUGAGCCUCCAGGUCAGCAGCUCCAACAGGGACCAUGCAGCAGCCUGCAAUUUAAGGAUUUUAGCUUGACUUCACUCUGGAGAGUAAAAUGUUUUGGUGAUUGGAGAGAAUGGACUAGUGGUCCAAUGAUGGUAAACUCUGAGCACUCCUGCUCAAACCCCUGGGGGGGGAUGGUCACAAAUCCGUAGCAGAGAUUCCAGGAAUUCUGAUUUAUAACCAAUAGCAAUGGGGAAGAAGCAGGCAGAGAUGUAGCUUCUGACUUGAAAGUACUGCUUGGAGGUGGACACCUGCUAUGCAGUGCUGAAGGGGAAGGUCCUCGGUAUUCAGGCUGCUCUCCUUCACAUGUCACCUCCUGAUGCUGGGAGAUGUCCCAGGGCUGAAAAGGAAAGUGAAAGCCCUCUGUCAUGCCCAUUUCCCCUCAGCAAUGCUUGUUCACCUGGAGAGCUUGCACAGAGUGAUGGACUGGGAAGGUAACCUCAUCUCCAGGCAGUGCAGGGAUGAAACCCCUCUGUGCCCCUCCUGUUCUGCUGCAUGACCCUCCUGCUCCCCAUGCGUGGGUCUGGACCCAUCCCAGCUGCUGGAGGUCUCCUGGGGACAUGGGAUUUGCCCAGAAGCAUGAAAAGAUAUUCAUACAGCUACUGGGAGGCGGGGUUGUGAAAGGCCAGCGCACUUUUUUUUUUCCUCUAACAAAUGACCUUUGUCUUUCCUUUUAUUUUCAUUUUCAGGCUCUGGCCUUCCAGAGGUCAGGCGGUUUAAGAAUCUUGGCAGGAUGAAAAAAGCAGGAUUCAUCCCCCUAAUUGCUUUAUCUCUCUGGCCACCACGUCAUCCUGCUUCGGCCAAGGUCAGUAAUUUUCCUAAAUCAUCAUAUCCCAGAACGCCACAAGUCAGAGCCCGGAGGACACAUGGAACUCAUGUCAAAAGGCACAGCCUUUGCACGAACACCCAUCGCCUCCUCGGCUUUGUCUCUCCACUUGAGAGUCUGUUCAGUUCUUGUUUUGCAGAAAAAGGAAGAAUGAUUCUGAUGUAACAACAGGACUCCGGGAGCUGGAGAUUUAUGGUGGAAAAAAAAAAGCAAAUAGCAAGCAGCUCUUGAUCAAGUGGUGAGAAAGCAUCUGCAGCGAGCUGUCAUUGCUUUGCCUCUUGAGUAUGGCUGAUUGCAUGGGGUCGUACCCACCUGGGGCAAGGAGCUGCCCUAAGCAUCCAUCAGCUAGAUGCGCUGCUCUUAAUUAACCCUGAUUAAUUACCAGGUGAGAACACGUCCUCCCCUGUGCACUGAGAGCAGCACAACCAACCUGCAGUUAAACAUUGACAAGUUGCCUCCACGGUGGAUUUCCAGGAAUCUGUUGAGCUAAGUAAUUGGAUCAUCAGCUCUUUGAAAGUAGAAGUGGCACAAGUGCUUUGCUUUCAUCUCUCUCACAGUUCCAAUAGGUUUGUGUGAUGAAGACCCAACCAGUGCCCAACCUGACAUUAUUCAACCCACUUUCAGCAGUGGCACCUCUAUUUUUUCACUUGUAAUUUGCUCCACGUUCUGUCCAAGUCUGGAAUUUAAAUACAGUGAGAUCACAUCCGUGAAUUUUUCUGCUAUUUGUGAAGGUACUCAAGAUGCCCAACAGUUCCUCCACUGUAUCUCAAGGCCUUCUGGGACUCCAUUUUUGAGCCAAGACUGUGCCCACAAGAGGCGUCACCUCCUGCCUGAGGCCAGAUUUUGACCAUAAAAGGGAAGAAUGGAAUGUUGGACGACAGCCCCGAUUGGCUGAGCACCUUCUCGUGAUGGUUUCGGGGGAAAUAACCAGGUCGGAGUCAUUUUCCUCUCCCCCCGUCCCGAGUCAAGAAUGAAAACAAUGAGACCAAACCGUGUGGUUCACCAUUGAAACCAAGACAGGACUUUUUGUGUCUGUGCCUCCUACUGUUUUUGGUUCCACCUGCAUGAAACUGAGCCCUCACUUCUGUGUGUGCGCGGCAGCUCUGCUUCCCAUCCAACAUCUCUGUGGCCACCACUGGUUGAUGCUAUCUUGGAGGUGAAUGGGAGUGAUUUGGUGGCCACGUUGGCCAGGAACCACAACUGCCUUCUGCCAACCUGUUGGGAGAACCCAAGAACCUCCUUCUUGUGGUUGUGUAUCCUAUAUCCACAACCAAAACCUGGCAGAACAAAGUGCCUUUGUGCUUGGACAUCCCUCCCACCCAGCUGCACUGUGGCUGCCCUCAUUAGAUAAUUUCUAUGGUUAAAAUAGGACUUCACUCUCGUGACUCAUUUGCCUAAAAUGUGCCACCAGCACUGACUUACAACCUUUAAUAAAAAUGAUAAAGAAGCUGAGAAGGUUUCCUGGAAACGUUGUCAGCCUUGAGUUGGGAGCAGAUGUUGGCAGCAAGCAAAGUUCUUUCAAGCUAUAAAGGCAUUUUCCUGUUUAAUGAUUACCCUGAGAAAUCUCGAGGCUGAAUCAGCUUCACCCUUCUGGGAAAGCCGCACCCAGAGAAAUUCUCCUCUCGUCGCCUUCACCCAGUGGGAACAAGCUGGUGCUGUGGGUAACACUGGCCCUGAAGCCAGAAGCUGCUCCCAGUUGUCACCAAUUUCUUCCUGUUUGCCCUCCAUUUGGGGCAGCUCUGGUGCUAGUCCUAGUGGGCUCUGAGCCAGCCCUGGUUAAGAAGAAAUUCUUCUAUUAGCUGCAUUCUCAAGGUACGGUGUUUUUCCUACAAAAACUCUUCUCAGCCCCCUGCUUGCAGGAAUCCCUUUUGCAAGGGGAACAUUCCCAGUGCUGGUUGUUCCAGUGCUCACUGAAGCUGCUUUGGUACUAAGUGCAAAUCUUCUUCCCUGUUGCUCCUGAUGUCAGCAUUCUCCCUCUUUUUGAGGCAGCACUUUGCAGGUAAGCUCCAGAGACCUUCCACCAUCAUCCACCUUUCCAUCAGGCCACUCGCUCUGCUCUCACCCCAUGGGUACCAUUUCUCUCCCACGACAGCAGUGCCUUGCAUCACUUCACCACCUGCUGCAAUUCCUCUUGUUGGUGCUAUUUCUUCAGCAGCGACCGCAGCGAUGAGCACUGAGACCUAUCGCAGCAUCACUGCUUGUCCCCACAAAACCAGAGGGGAACCAAAGGAUCUUACUCAUUGGUAUUGGAGCAGUGUACCCCAUCACCUCCCUCCUGCUUCUGGGCAGCGGUUUGGGAGAGGAGGAAGAGGUGGCUGUGCUCAUCUUGGGGCAGAGAGCUUGUUCCUGGUGUCGUUCUCCACCAUUGUGGGUUAUCUGCAAUGCUUGGGUUUUGGAUAGCCAAAGCCUGGAGGGAGCCUUUUUUGCUAGAUAAGGAUGAUGGUGGCACUGGUAGGGCUGUUAUCUGUGUGGUUCAGGGUAACGCUGGUGAUGAAGCAGCUUUGAAAGCUGCAGCAGGAAUAUGGGUAGGGCCAACACAACCAAAAGUUUAUGCAGUGGUUUGCUGCUGGUUUUGCUACACAGACUGGAGUCAUUGGGUCCUUGGGUCUGAGCUGUGCUGCUCUACAGUGUGCAUGGCAUCAGCUGCUAGAAGCACAGCCUACAUCCUCUGGGCAUUGUGGAUGUAGGCUUGUCCUCAUAAUAUCCCAUGGGCAGAGCUGUAGCAAUGUCCCCACUGUUGAACACAGAGGUGAGGGGCUGCAUUUGGAGCUCCCAUUGCUCCAGCCUGGGGAUCCCCAGGAUACUGUGAGCCCUGAUCCUGUGCAGGGUGCAAAUGGGAAAUACUGAGUGGGAGAAAAGCAGAAGAUUUAGUGGUAACACAGACCUCACACAAAGCAUGGCACCCCAUCUCAAAGGGCUGUUUUUCCCUGCUAGGAUGGGGACAUUCAUUGCCCUAGGCACAGUGAUAGAGCCCAGCAAGCAGCAGGGAGAAGGGCAACCAGCAAAUGAGCAUUGGGGAAAAAAAAUAAUAUGAUAAUAAUUAAAACCCAAGAGCUGUAAGUAGAUGACAGCUCAGCUGGGCCCUGUUCCUUAUUUGCAUAGCCUGGCUCUAUCUGUAUGAGGUGCCUGGCUACCAGAUGUUAGCACAUUUGCAUGUAUGGCGAAGGGAGGGGAUGUGGCAGUCCCAGGGGUGUCACUGUUGGAUGGAGAUUGCCACCCAGUGGCUGUGCUCAGUGCCACCUUCAGCCCUGUGAGCACCUAAAAAUACAGCAUCACUGCUGCAGGCACGAAUCUGCUGCUUUGCCUUCCAUCUGCAAUCUGGGUGCAGGGCUCAGGGCUACAGCUGUAUUUUUGUAUUGACAUCACUAUUAAAGAAUUGCUCCUACUGUCAGCAGCACAACUAUUUUUGCCCCUACAGCAAGUUCCUCACCCCUAUUUUCACUAAUUAAGUGAGUCUCACCUUCAUAUAAACACCUCCCUGUCAGCUGGUGGUGGUCCCUUUCAACUCAGCUGCUGUUAAUGAAGCUAAUUAGGAGCAGGGUGCUUUUGUUGCAGCAUUGGCUGCUGCCUUAGCAGUUGUGUGCUUUGUAGGUGAUGUGUCCUGGGGUUGUGUUUGGUAAAGGGAUGGACUGCUUGGUUGUUCCUUUUUCCUGUUGCUGGAGCUAUCAGGGCAGCAUUGUCCUAUGGGCAUUACUUAUGAAGCAUCUCUUGAAAAUGCUCUGAGCCUGCUAGUAGGCUUUCUGUAAAGCUUCCUAGUGAGCAGAAGUGACUCGGUUCUAAAGCUGAGGGAAGAUGACAAGAUGAUCUCUUCAGGUGGAGUAUUAUUUCUUGCAUGAUAUUUGGGAAGGCCCCAGUGCUCCACAUGGGUUUGUUUCUCAGGGCUUGGCACCCCCAGGGCAAACCUAAUGUCAGUCCUGGUGUGGCUCUGAGCAAGGCUUGGUGAAGAAGAAAUCCCUCUAUUAGUUGUGUUCCUGAGGCAUAGGGAGCAUCCUACAAAACCUCAGCCUCCUGCUUCCAGGAUCACCCAGUGCUAUUGCAAGGGGAAUGUUGCUGCUUGUUGCAACCUGGCUCUGGGGUUGCUUUUGCUUUGUGCAAAUUGCUCUGUGCUCUAUAGCAUAGAAUGGCCUGGGUUGAAAAGGACCA